rnacentral:lncRNA from 1 species
CCAGACUUUCAGAACAACGGUCUUCCUAUCCCGUAUACUUCUGAAUAAUGAUUUUUCUUAAUGAAGUGUUGUGUACACAGUAACCAAUCCAAAUGGUAGAAAAUGAACACAGAGCUUGCUCCCACCUCAAACCCCACAGGUACGAUGCCCAGACCCAAGCAGUUAGCCUUAGCUUGCUAUUCCCCGUUAUUAACAAUAAUACUCAAUAGCUUAGUACUUGACAAUGAGUCAGACAUUGUUGUAAGCCCUUUACAUAUCAACUCAUUGUGAUGCUCACGGCAACCCUAUGGCUCCGGUGUUCCUGUUAACUCGUGGGUGUGAGCAAACAGAGUCAGAGGGACGGGAAGCUGUCUGCCCCGUGUUACACAGCUAAACAGACACACGGGAGCGCAGGCAGUCCGGCUCCAAAGUUCAUGCUCUUAGGCACCACUCCAAACGAGCACGUAGAGUACCUACAGAACAUUCCAUUGUAUAAUGUAUCCUGGUAAGAUUUUUAUAAUCUCUUCUAAAUUUGUCAUUAUUAAAGUGCAAAACAGAGAGACAUUCAGCCACCCUGGACAAGCCUAGUGCUUUUGUGUUUGUCUGUGACACACGUUUCCGUAAGUGGAGAGCGGAAACAAAGGACAUGUAUACUAAAUGGCUCGAGGGAUACCACCAACCUGCCUCCCGCGAUGAACAGUAACGUUCACCUGGAGUCUGCAAACCCGCAGACUCACUGAGAGGACCUGCAAGGAGGAAGGGGAGAGAGAGACAGAGACUGAGAAACGGAGACACAAAUCUCUCAUGUGCCAAAAAUGAAGUACAGGAGUCGAGGCCCGAACAGAGGAUAUCAGACAUGGCCCUUGGGCCUGAGGAAGGAGAUUCAUGCUAAAUGGGGCCAGAAGGUGAUGCCCAAAGAACAAGGCAAAGGAGUUAGCACAAGAGUCUCUGACCUCACCAUUCCUGCUUCUGCCUCGAGUAUCUGUACGUACUGGCAUCCGAGGACAUGUCCGGCCUCAGACCUCCAGAAUCCUGUGUGCGUGUUUGAAAGGAAGAACGAACGGCCCACUUUUGAGAGCAUGUGGCGAGACACGAUUCCUCUCUUACUUGGUAUUUCAUAUGAAAUACAAAAAGACACCUUACCACACAAACAGCAGAAAUGUAGUCUAUUUUGCCUUUAUGGACAUCUGUUCUCAGACUACUGGUUGUUUACCUGCUAUAAUAAAGGCUAAUUUCUAUAUUAAAGUAAUACUAAGUAUAAUUAGAAUGGUUUCUAAGUACCCCAACACACAAAAAAACGAGAAGUUUCCAGAAGAAAUGGAGGGCAGUGAGAUUUGGCCACAUUGUUGUACACGCAUCUAGUAAUCUGUUUGCUCUUUGGCUUGAACUCCUUAGAUUUUUGCUUUUCCCUUUUGGAUAGAGAAUGUUUGCAUAAAUAAUAGCGUAUCCACGGGACAGAACUAGCCGGUAGAAAAAAUGAUGUUUUUGAACAGAUAGUUCACAAAAGAAAAAAAAAACCACCAUAAACAAAAUAAAUUAAUAAAAUUCCAUUUUCUUCCA